rnacentral:rRNA from 1 species
AUGAACGCUGGCGGCGUGCCUAACACAUGCAAGUCGAACGAAGCACCUUACCUGAUUCUUCGGAUGAAAGUUUGGUGACUGAGUGGCGGACGGGUGAGUAACGCGUGGGUAACCUGCCCUGUACAGGGGGAUAACAGCUGGAAACGGCUGCUAAUACCGCAUAAGCGCACGAGGAGACAUCUCCUUGUGUGAAAAACUCCGGUGGUACAGGAUGGGCCCGCGUCUGAUUAGCUGGUUGGGAGGGUAACGGCCUACCAAGGCAACGAUCAGUAGCCGGUAAGUGAGGAUGAACGCACACACUGGAGCUGAGACACAGUCCAGACUCCUACGGGAGGCAGCAGUGGGGAAUAUUGCAAAAUGGGGGAAGCCCUGAUGCAGCAACGCCGCGUAAGUGAAGAAGUAUUUCGGGAUGUAAAGCUCUAUCAGCAGGGAAGAUAAUGACGGUACCUAACCAAGAAGCUCCGGCUAAAUACGUG